UACCAGCACCCCGAGUGGUCGGGACGAUUAUUGGGCCUAAAGCAUCCGUAGCCGGUUUUACAAGUCCUCCGUUAAAUCCAACUGCUUAACAGAUGGGCCGCGGAGGAUACUACAAGACUAGGAGGCAGGAGAGGCAAGCGGUACUCAGUGGGUAGGGGUAAAAUCCGUUGAUCCAUUGAAGACCACCAGUGGCGAAGGCGGCUUGCCAGAACGCACUCGACGGUGAGGGAUGAAAGCUGGGGGAGCAAACCGG
rnacentral:rRNA from 1 species